rnacentral:tRNA from 1 species
GGCCUGGUAGUUCAGCUGGUUAGCAUAUUCCGAUUCAUCGGAAGAGUCGCCCGUUCGAGUCCCGUCCAGAUCGCUA